rnacentral:tRNA from 1 species
GAAAAUUUAGUUAAUCUAUAACAUUAGUUUGUCAUACUAAAAUUAUUAAUUUAUUAAUAAUUUUCA